UUACUUCAUUUAGUUACUUACAACCUUUCGUAAAACAGCUCACGAAAUAAAUAACUUUUGAAAACUUGGAAAUUUUUCCUCUCUUUGUGUAGCCUAAAAAUCUCUCACCAAAUCACCAUGUGCAGCUGGCCCUGUUAUCCUGCGGCGUGUAUCGGCUCUUGCGGCAGCUGUGCGCCGAGCGGCUUCUAUGAUCCCAGCUUUGGUACGAUGGCUGGCCCAUGUCGGGGAUUGGGCUAUUGUGGCUUGUGGGGUGGUACCUGUUGGUAAUCUAUAUUUGCGAGUUUGUUCUUUUGCGAUUCGUAUGUUCUUCCUCGUAAGCAAAGAAAGAAAUACGUGUAUCAAAGCAUAAAUAUCGAAGAAGCAGUUGACACUGAUUGGCAUGGUUGAGGCGGUUAUAGAGAAUUUGGGCUACUGGAGAAAACUGGGAAGAAUGCUAGCCCUUGGUCUUUCAAAAUUAUUUAUAAAUAGAAAUGGCGC